rnacentral:rRNA from 1 species
UACGAAGGGUGCGAGCGUUGUUCGGAUUUACUGGGCGUAAAGGGCGCGCAGGCGGCUUAUUUUGUCAGGCGUGAAAGCCCCGGGCUUAACCUGGGAACUGCGUUUGAUACGGAUGGGCUAGAGUUCGGGAGAGGAGAGUGGAAUUCCCAGUGUAGAGGUGAAAUUCGUAGAUAUUGGGAAGAACACCGGUGGCGAAGGCGGCUCUCUGGACCGAUACUGACGCUGAGGCGCGAAAGCGUGGGGAGCAAACAGG